GGUCCCGGGCAACGAAUGCCGGCGAACCCCGUCAGAUCCGGAAGGAAGCAGCGGCAGUCAGGUUCCUCGUGUGCUCCGGUCAACCUGG
rnacentral:SRP_RNA from 1 species